GUCAAGAAGCCUUUUCAAUGGCCCUAGACAUCAUCUGACUACAGCUUCAUGAGAGACCCUGAGCCAGAACCACUCAGCCAAGCUGCUCCUGCAUUCCUGACCCAUAGAAAUCAUAAAAGAUUUCUAUGCUCCCUCCCCUUGGAUCUGGGAUGGGCUUAUGACUAUUCUCACCAAUACAGUGUGGCAGGUGUGAUGCUAUGUGACUUCUGAGACAGGUCAUAAAAAGCAUAUGACUUCCAUCUGGCUCUCUCUUGAAACACAUGCCUUGGGAGCCCUUCUUCCUAUGCUGGAGAAAGUAUGUGGAGAGACUACAUAAAGAUGCCUGAGAAGCCCUGGCUAUUCCAGCCCUUAGCUAUCCAAGACUUCUUAGCCUGGGAACUGGAUAUAUGAGUCAAGAAGCCUUUUCAAUGGCACUAGACACCAUCUGAUUGUAGCUUCAUGACAGACCCUGAGCCAGAACCACUCAGCCAAGCUGUUCCUGCAUUCCUGACCCGUUGAAAUCAUGAGAGAUAAUCAACAAUCAUUAUUCCCUAAGCCAGAGGCAGAGGUUGCACAUGAGCCAAGAUUGCAUCAUUGCACUCCAGCCUGGGCAACAAGAGCAAAACCCCAUCUCAAAAAAAAAAAAAGAAGAAAGAAAAUAAGCCUUUGGACUUUUAAACCACUAUAAGAGAGCAGGCUGAGAAAACUACUUAGUUGCAAACACUGGCUGUUUUUUAUGAAAAAAGAAAAGAUGACUCAGCUUCUGCUUCUGAGCCCAGAAAUUGGAGCCAAGAGCCAUAGAGAACCAUUCUCAGACAGUAGGACUGAGUUCUAACCAAGAAACUACCUGCAUUCCCAGCAGAAUUUCAGAAUUGCUGAAGCCCCCUGUGUACCUCCCAUUUAUCUUUUUUCUUCCUUUUUCCAGGAUGAUCUAUAAUGCUUAUCCUAUGUCUGCCCUAUUAUUGUAUAUUAGUUAGAGGGAAAAGAAUAUAUUUCUUUUUCAUGGGUCUAUAGAUCAAGAGGAACUAUAAGGAGGUGCUAUAUUUGAGAUAUUUACCCAAGGAGUCUCAUCUGAACCUGGACCCAAUUAGAUGACAAGACCUGGGAGUUCAAACUGAUGCUAUAAUAUGAUGAGACUUUUGUGGACCUUGGGAAGGGACAAGUGUAUGUCCAAUAG
rnacentral:lncRNA from 13 species